GAUGAACGCUGGCGGCGUGCCUAACACAUGCAAGUCGAGCGAACGGACGAGAAGCUUGCUUCUCUGAUGUUAGCGGCGGACGGGUGAGUAACACGUGGAUAACCUACUUAUAUGACUGGGAUAACUUCGGGAAACCGUAGCCAAUACCGGAUAAUAUUUUGAACCGCAUGGUUCAAGAGUGAAAGACGGUUUUGCUGUCACUUAUAGAUGGAUCCGCGCUGCAUUAGCUAGUUGGUAAGGUAACGGCUUACCAAGGCAACGAUGCAUAGCCGACCUGAGAGGGUGGUCGGCCACACUGGGACUGAGGCACGGUCCAGACUCCUACGGGAGGCAGCCGUAGGGAAUCUUCCGCAAUGGGCGAAAUCCUGACGGAGCCACGCCGCGUGAGUGGUGAAGGUCUUCGGAUCGUAAAACUCUGUUAUUAGGGAAAAACAUAUGUGUAAGUAACUGUGCGCAUCUUGACGGUACCUAAUCAGAAAGCCACGGCUAACUACGUG
rnacentral:rRNA from 1 species